UACAGAGGUCCCAAGCGUUGUUCGGAUUCAUUGGGCGUAAAGGGUGCGUAGGCGGCGCGGUAAGUCGGGUGUGAAAUCUCGGGGCUUAACUCCGAAACUGCAUUCGAUACUGCCGUGCUUGAGGACUGGAGAGGAGACUGGAAUUUACGGUGUAGCGGUGAAAUGCGUAGAUAUCGUAAGGAAGACCAGUGGCGAAGGCGGGUCUCUGGACAGUUCCUGACGCUGAGGCACGAAGGUCAGGGGGAGCAAAACGGGG
rnacentral:rRNA from 1 species